rnacentral:rRNA from 1 species
UACGAAGGGGACUAGCGUUGUUCGGAUUUACUGGGCGUAAAGGGCGCGUAGGCGGCCACCGCAAGUCGACUGUGAAAUCUCCGGGCUUAACCCGGAAAGGUCAGCCGAUACUGCGGGGCUAGAGUGCAGAAGGGGCAACUGGAAUUCUCGGUGUAGCGGUGAAAUGCGUAGAUAUCGAGAGGAACACCUGCGGCGAAGGCGGGUUGCUGGGCUGACACUGACGCUGAGGCGCGAAAGCGUGGGGAGCAAACAGG